rnacentral:rRNA from 1 species
UACGGAGGGGGCUAGCGUUGUUCGGAAUUACUGGGCGUAAAGCGCACGUAGGCGGCUUUCUAAGUCAGGGGUGAAAUCCUGGAGCUCAACUCCAGAACUGCCUUUGAUACUGGAGAGCUUGAGUCCGGAAGAGGUGAGUGGAACUCCGAGUGUAGAGGUGAAAUUCGUAGAUAUUCGGAAGAAACACCAGUGGCGAAGGCGGCUCACUGGUCCGGUACUGACGCUGAGGCACGAAGGCCAGGGGAGCAACGGG